UUCAUUGUAUGGCUCACCUUAAAUUGAUUAGCUGGACUUGUCUUGAGGACUGGUUUGACUUGGCGUAAUAAGUAUUUCGCUGAGGACAUCGUAAGAUGGCCAACUUCUUGACCACUGUCUGCUUUCUAACCCUGUUCUCUCCGGAGACGUUUUUCUAUACAUCUGGCCUCAAAUCAGGUAGGACUACCCGCUGAACUUAA
rnacentral:misc_RNA from 1 species